UUUAAAUCUUAAAAAUGUUUUAAUAUCAAAUCUGAUAGAAAAAAAAAUUAAUAAAAUUUACAAUUAAAUAAAAUAAUGAUGGUAUACAUUACAGAUCUUUGUAACUUUGAGCAAUUAAUUCUAUGAAUUAUAACACUAUAUGUUUGAUGCUAUUUAGCGUUAAUUAACGCUGUAAUUGAAAGAUAGCCGAGAAUCGAUAUUUCCAAGCAGUGCAUUCGAUAAUGUAAAACGAUGUUAUCUGGAUCUCUUUCCAAUGCAUUCUUGGCAGUUCGUUAACAAGACCAUGACUGUAAGUUGUAUACCAAGAACGGAAAAAGGAAGGCGAAAGUAUUCUAUAUUUGAUGGAUUUCUUCUUCCUUAAGUAUAAGAACGAACAUCCUGCCCGCAGGGUUUCUAAUAACCAGUCUAGACGGCAUCUGGUUAUUACAUAUUAUGCAUGUUUAUAUGGAACUAUUUAAUUAUUUUAAUUUUUAAAUAAAUUUUGAAAAUUUUCAAAAGAUGUCCAUAUUUAAUAGAAGAAAAAAAAUAUUGAUGAC